UCCUUUUAUCUGUUUUCUUUUGUCCGCUAGUGACGUAUAACAAACUGUCUGUCAUUGGGCCACCUGUCCCUGCCAUGUUGAUACGGACGUACGAGAAUAUCAGGUCUCUGCCCCAUGCGUAACGGCCUCUGAUUUCCCCCGGGCGUGCAUGCGGAUAGACCCACAAGACAGAUGGGUUGAUCCCCUUCCUGAUUUCGAGCUGG
rnacentral:lncRNA from 1 species